UACAGAGGUCCCAAGCGUUGUUCGGAUUCACUGGGCGUAAAGGGCGCGUAGGCGGGAUGGCAAGUCGGUCGUGAAAUCCUUCGGCUCAACCGAAGAACGUCGGCCGAUACUGCCGUUCUUGAGGGAUGCAGAGGAGAUUGGAAUUCCCGGUGUAGCGGUGAAAUGCGUAGAGAUCCGGAGGAACCCCAGAGGCGAAGGCGGCGCCCUGGCUCGACACUGACGCUCAGACACGACAGCAUGGGGAGCGAACGGG
rnacentral:rRNA from 1 species